rnacentral:rRNA from 1 species
GACAGAGGGUGCAAACGUUGUUCGGAAUUACUGGGCGUAAAGCGCGUGUAGGCGGUCAUGUAAGUCGGGCGUGAAAUCCCCGGGCUUAACCUGGGACGUGCAGUCAAAACUGUAAGCCUUGAAUGUCUGAGAGGAUGGCGGAAUCCCGGUGUAGUAGUGAAAUACGUAGAUAUCGGGAAGAACACCUGAGGCGAAGGCGGCUAUCUGGCGGUACAUUGACGCUGAGGCGCGAAAGCGUGGGGAGCAAACAGG